rnacentral:rRNA from 1 species
UGGGGAAUCUUGCGCAAUGGACGAAAGUCUGACGCAGCGACGCCGCGUGGGUGACGAAGGCCUUCGGGUUGUAAAGCCCUGUGGGGAGAGACGAACCGGCCUGUGGCUAAUAUCCACGGGUCUUGACGGUAUCUCCUUAGCAAGCAUCGGCUAACUCUGUGCCAGCAGCCGCGGUAAGACAGAGGAUGCAAACGUUGCUCGGAAUUACUGGGCGUAAAGCGCGCGCAGGCGGUCUUGUAAGUCGGGUGUGAAAGCCCCGGGCUCAACCCGGGAAGUGCACUCGAUACUGCAUGACUGGAGUACUGGAGAGGAGAGCGGAAUUCUCGGUGUAGAGGUGAAAUUCGUAGAUAUCGGGAGGAACACCAGCGGCGAAGGCGGCUCUCUGGACAGAUACUGACGCUGAGGCGCGAAAGCGUGGGAAGCAAACAGG